rnacentral:lncRNA from 1 species
UCACUCUCUUCCUCUCCUCCGUCUUCCUCCUCCUCUCCCUCUCCACUAUUUGUCGUCAUUCAGAUUCUACUCUUAUCUAUUUAUGAACAUCUUGUUUGGCCAUUUAAAUUUUUAAAAUUUAUUUCAUUUUAAUUGCAACGACCCAACCCGCUAGCAACAAUAACUCGUUGGGCCAAAUCACCGGCCCAAAAUGCUUAAACCUAGUUAUUAUUAUUAGCGUGGAGGCCUCAUAUAAACUGAUUAUAUGAUCCCUGUUUAGACUCUAACGAGUCCAACCAGAUCACUGACAGAUCAGGACCAUUACCAGGCGAUGUGAGAUUCUAGAGAUGGCUCCUACGGGUUCAAGAGGUGGCUCCCACCAAACCCAUUGGUGUAGCACUUUAUCCCGUAUAGCACUUAGUUCUCACACUUCCGGCUGGUAUUCAGCUCUGAUACCAAUUCCAACGACCCGACCCGCUAGCAACAAUAACUCGUUGAGCCAAACCACCGGCCCAAAAUGCUUAAGCCUAAUUAUUAUUAUUAGCGUGGAGGCCUCAUAUAAACUGAUCAGAAUCAGUAUUCCAUCCGAUGUGGGACUAUUGGGGGCGUUACAUUAAUAAGAUACAAAUUCAUUCAUCUCAUUUAGAGCUGAUUUA